rnacentral:rRNA from 1 species
UACGUAGGGUGCAAGCGUUGUCCGGAAUUAUUGGGCGUAAAGAGCGUGUAGGCGGCCCGGUAAGUCCGCUGUGAAAGUCGGGGGCUCAACCCUCGAAUGCCGGUGGAUACUGUCGGGCUAGAGUGCGGAAGAGGCGAGUGGAAUUCCUGGUGUAGCGGUGAAAUGCGCAGAUAUCAGGAGGAACACCAAUUGCGAAGGCAGCUCGCUGGGACGUGACUGACGCUGAGACGCGAAAGCGUGGGGAGCAAACAGG